rnacentral:lncRNA from 1 species
GGGGAUUGAAUCUGGCUCACAAAGUGUAAACCCCAUGUACUGUAAGAAGAAGAUCAAGGGCAGCAUUGGCACUAAGUGGUUGUUCAAAAGUUUCCAACUGUUCUAACUUUUCAAAAACAGAGAGUGAGUUUUUGUUGCUUUAGCCUUAGGGAAUACGGGAAGAAGGUGUCUUUAAACACCCACUCAAAAUGCCCAGAUUUUAGGAGGAGGAAAGAAAGCUAUAAUGGGAACAAAGCUAUGGGUUUCACAUUUGGAUAAGAAACCAGAAAGGCAGGAAAAAAAAAAUGCAAAAUCUUUUAGAGCAGACUUUUAUGUUUGUCUGUGUGGAAGGCAUUUUCAAAUUGAAAGCCAAACAACGGGUAACCAAAAAAUUAUGUGGUAGCUCCAAAAUAGUUCCUUGACGUAUAAUUGUGUUGCGUGAGAGCUUAGGUAUCUAUAGCAUCUUUUGUGAUGAAGCAAGGGGUAAGCUUACUAAAUGAAUAAUGCGCUUUUGGAAAGUCAGCAAGAAAAAUCUUUGAGUGCAAUCCAAAGAAACAAAAGAGCUUUCUUUAAAAAAAAAAAAAAAUCGUCAGGGUGAAGUUGUUUCUGUAGUUCAGAUCCUGGAUCGGGAAUUUUGGAAGAUUGAUGCCAUUACCCAGCGCACACUCAACCAGCGCAACUUCAUCACGUAAUGUUUUUCUGGUUGUUCCAGAGAGCUUAAAGGACAAAAGGUCACCUGUGCUCAAGCAUCCCCUCCUUGUGAAAACCACCAGGCAGACUGCCAUGCCUCUUCCAGCCUCCAGCGCCGCGUGCACCCCUGUUAUCACCUGUCAGCCUGCUCUCCGGCUACCUGCCUAUCCUUACUGAUGGACUGUGCCUUGAGGCAAGAGCUGUAUCUUAUUUAUUUCUCUGAUUUUUAACUAAGUCAUUAAAAAAUUUGUAGCUCAUCUUAAUUAUGGUGAUUGACUUAAUAAAUGAAUAAAUGUCACCCUGAUUCCAGGAACUUGACCCUAUAGAUUCAUGAAAAGAACCAGUAAAAGAAAAAAAAAAAGAAAAAAAGAGAAAAACCUGAGGGUAAGGCCAGGAAGACUUUUUCCUAUUUGGAAUCAGGGCGGAGGAGAGUGAGCCAAACCCACACCUUCUUCACCUGAUAAGAGAGACGCUGAAGAGCUGUGAAUAGCAGCUAACUAGCCUGUUUAUUUCCAGAAAAUAGGAUUUAAUUAAACACACUUUCUUCAGCAGCUCUUACCAAUCAAAGGAUUAGAACCGCUCUGGGUGCCAAGUACAAGCUCUUGGGAGGAAAUGAUCUGGAAGAAAAAUAAUUUUCUCCACCUCAAAAUAGGAGUAGGAAAAAUAUGAAAACAAAUAUUUUUGGUCUAACAUUUAGUAAUUUUAAAAUUCCACAUUCAGCUCUCCAGUGUCUAUUUCUUUCCUUUAGACUAAAAGUCUUUUUUUUUUUUUAGAUUUUAUUUUUUACUCCGAGGAUUUUCAUGUAAUUUGGGGGGGUGUUUUAAUCACAUUUCUGCAGUUUAUUACCUUGGAGUUUCGCCCAUUGUCUAGAAUGAGGAGUUUAUUUGCUAAAUUGAGGAAAACGUAGGCGAAUGUUUGAGCUGGUGGGUAAAUGGAUCAGGAUGCCCGGAUCACAAGGCCGCGUCGGCCAUCUGCUCUGAGCACAGCCACAUCUGUGGGGUCACAAGAGGGUCUCACCCAAGGGGGCAGACUUAGGAAGCCCCUCCCAGCCACAAGGACAUUUCACCUGCUUAUCUGGCAGAGAUGGCUAGACCGAGGCCAGCUAUUGAGCAGGUAUCAGAAAAUGGCUGAUUUGAGAAGGUG